rnacentral:rRNA from 1 species
UACGGAGGAUGCGAGCGUUAUCUGGAUUUAUUGGGUUUAAAGGGUGCGCAGGCGGCACGGCAAGCCGGCGGUCAAAUCGCGGGGCUCAACCCCGCCCAGCCGUCGGAACUGCCGGGCUAGAGUGGGCGAGAAGUGCGCGGAAUGCGUGGUGUAGCGGUGAAAUGCAUAGAUAUCACGCAGAACUCCGAUUGCGAAGGCAGCGCACCGGCGCCCUACUGACGCUCAGGCACGAAAGCGUGGGUAUCGAACAGG